GACAGAGGCCCCAAGCGUUAGGCGGAAUCACUGGGCUUAAAGCGUGUGUAGGCGGAUCGUCAAGUGUCUUGUGAAAUCCCACGGCUCACCCGUGGAACUGCUGGGCAUACUGGCGAUCUUGGGCCAACUAGGGGCAGCCGGAACAAGCGGUGGAGCGGUGAAAUGCGUAGAUAUCGCUUGGAACGCCGAAGGUGAAAACAGGCUGCUGGGGUUGUGCCGACGCUGAGACACGAAAGCCAGGGGAGCAAACGGG
rnacentral:rRNA from 1 species